GACGAACGCUGGCGGCGUGCUUAACACAUGCAAGUCGAACGGAAAGGCCCUGCUUUUGUGGGGUGCUCGAGUGGCGAACGGGUGAGUAACACGUGAGUAACCUGCCCUUGACUUUGGGAUAACUUCAGGAAACUGGGGCUAAUACCGGAUAGGAGCUCCUGCUGCAUGGUGGGGGUUGGAAAGUUUCGGCGGUUGGGGAUGGACUCGCGGCUUAUCAGCUUGUUGGUGGGGUAGUGGCUUACCAAGGCUUUGACGGGUAGCCGGCCUGAGAGGGUGGCCGGCCACAUUGGGACUGAGAUACGGCCCAGACUCCUACGGGAGGCAGCAGUGGGGAAUAUUGCACAAUGGGCGGAAGCCUGAUGCAGCAACGCCGCGUGCGGGAUGACGGCCUUCGGGUUGUAAACCGCUUUCGCCUGUGACGAAGCGUGAGUAACGGUAAUGGGUAAAGAAGCACCGGCUAACUACGUGCCAGCAGCCGCGGUGAUACGUAGGGUGCGAGCGUUGUCCGGAUUUAUUGGGCGUAAAGGGCUCGUAGGUGGUUGAUCGCGUCGGAAGUGUAAUCUUGGGGCUUAACCCUGAGCGUGCUUUCGAUACGGGUUGACUUGAGGAAGGUAGGGGAGAAUGGAAUUCCUGGUGGAGCGGUGGAAUGCGCAGAUAUCAGGAGGAACACCAGUGGCGAAGGCGGUUCUCUGGGCCUUUCCUGACGCUGAGGAGCGAAAGCGUGGGGAGCGAACAGGCUUAGAUACCCUGGUAGUCCACGCUGUAAACGGUGGGUACUAGGUGUGGGGUCCAUUCCACGGGUUCCGUGCCGUAGCUAACGCUUUAAGUACCCCGCCUGGGGAGUACGGCCGCAAGGCUAAAACUCAAAGGAGUUGACGGGGCCCCGCACAAGCGGCGGAGCAUGCGGAUUAAUUCGAUGCAACGCGUAGAACCUUACCUGGGUUUGACAUGGAUCGGGAGUGCUCAGAGAUGGGUGUGCCUCUUUUGGGGUCGGUUCACAGGUGGUGCAUGGCUGUCGUCAGCUCGUGUCGUGAGAUGUUGGGUUAAGUCCCGCAACGAGCGCAACCCUUGUUCACUGUUGCCAGCACGUUAUGGUGGGGACUCAGUGGAGACCGCCGGGGUCAACUCGGAGGAAGGUGGGGAUGACGUCAAGUCAUCAUGCCCCUUAUGUCCAGGGCUUCACGCAUGCUACAAUGGCUGGUACAGAGAGUGGCGAGCCUGUGAGGGUGAGCGAAUCUCGGAAAGCCGGUCUCAGUUCGGAUUGGGGUCUGCAACUCGGCCUCAUGAAGUCGGAGUCGCUAGUAAUCGCAGAUCAGCAACGCUGCGGUGAAUACGUUCCCGGGGCU
rnacentral:rRNA from 1 species